rnacentral:lncRNA from 1 species
CUCAUUUAAUCUUCGUCACCGUCAUUACAGAUGGGAAACUGAGGCUAGCAGCACCGACAAUCUUGCUCCUGGAGUGACUCAGAAGGAUUUCCAAGCCAGGCCUGUCUGGCUCCACAGGAUUUCUUCCACAGCAGCGUCUCUCUGCCAUUUCAUACUAAAACGACUUAGGAAGCCCCUCGGGAAUUGAAAGCAUCUCAGUGUAACAUGUUUAGUUUGGGGCCCAAAUGUGUAUUAAAACGCAGAUUAAAUUCAAACUCGGUAUUACAGCAUCCAAAACCGCUUCGAUGACCUGAUGCUUGAAAUCACCACAUUUUGCACUUUAAAAAUUAAACUGGCUUCUUUUUUUUUUAAUUUGUCAUAUUUUGUUUCUAAACAAACUAGGAGAGGUUUCAGGCCGCUCCUUUCCAGCAUCUGUCUGCAAACAAAAGCUUCAUGAAUAAUAUUUAUUCCCAACAAAUGAAAAGCCGAAAUGAAAUGCAUUUCUCUUUUUAAUAUUGGUUUUUGAAGUACCAGAAGCGACUCAGAGCGCUACAGCAGAAUUUUGAGCAGCUAAGAGCAGCUCGCUGAUUUGAUCGAGAUGACUAUGAGGCCAAUAAUCCUUGCUUCUUUUUGAAUUCCAACACGAGUGUUCCUUAUGCUUUCUGUCUUCGACCAGCGGUUUCUUAGGAGUAAAAAUUAAACAAAAUACAAAUGAUGGCAGGAAAGGUUUGAUCCACUUGGAGUGUUCACGCCCAGCAGAGCAGGGAGCAGUGUUCGGCGGAAGGACAGCCCACUGCGCAUGCUCGCUCCAUACGUACCUCGCGCUCCAACUGUUCCUUCCAGAGAAACAAGAAUGUCCUAAUCAUCGUUCUGUUCGUUGACUGUUGGGAGCCAGAAAUGGAGACUGGGACCGUUAAUGCCCCUGGUGAAAAUGCCCAGUCCCAUCGCUCAUGCCCAGGGAAGAAAAGGACUUUAGGAGCACAGCACAAAACAACAGACAUCACUGUUGCUGAACUCCCCCAGUGAACACACGCAGUUUUUAAAUUGUGGAGCUCUUGAACCAGAAGCAUUCCCAGAGGUCCUCUUGUCCAGGUGCCGACCCUAACCAGUCAUUGCUGUGCAGUGACAUCCCCAGGCUGAGCACAGGAAGCCUGCAGACAGAGCUUGGACAACCCUAAUUACAGGAUAUUGGCAAGUGUGUGUCACUCUAACAUGCAGGAGCUAAUAUCUGCCCUGUAUACUUCCCAGGGGGUCAGGAAGACCCAAAUAAAAUAAUUUACACAAAGCA